rnacentral:lncRNA from 1 species
CUUGGCCAAGGCCUUCUGAACUCAAUCUUAUAAAUCAUAUAGGACUACUCCUUAACUAUCAAGAUCGAUAGAUCUUUUCUAGAUGCACAUCCUAUUCUUACAAUGAACCUACUACAACCAACAUACACCUUAAGAUUUUGUAUGACUAGAAGAUCGAGUUAUGAUACAGUCAAACUACAGCAAUGCCAUUGUGAAUAGUCGAGGCACCAU